GAUGAAGAACGUAGUGAAAUGCGAUAAGUAAUGUGAAUUGCAGAGUUCAGUGAAUCAUCGAAUCUUUGAACGCACAUUGCGCCCGCCAGCAUUCUGGCGGGCAUGCCUGUUCGAGCGUCAUUUCAACCCUCGACCUCCCUUUGGGGAAGUCGGCGUUGGGGACCGGCAGCACACCGCCGGCCCUGAAAUGGAGUGGCGGCCCGUCCGCGGCGACCUCUGCGUAGUAAACCAACUCGCACCGGAACCCCGACGUGGCCACGCCGUAAAACACCCAACUUCUGAACGUUGACCUCGAAUCAGGUAGGACUACCCGCUGAACUUAAGCAUAUCAAUAAGCGGAGGA
rnacentral:misc_RNA from 1 species